CCAAUCAGCCUCAGGUCUCUCCCGUUGGCCAACACACAAUCUAUCUUCGGCCUCAAAUCCUCUACCGCUCGCGGCGGCCGCAUCACUGCCAUGGCUACCUACAAGGUCAAGUUCAUCACACCUGAGGGAGAACAAGAAGUGGAGUGCGAAGAAGAUGUCUUCGUCCUCGACGCUGCUGAGGAAGCCGGAAUUGACUUGCCGUACUCAUGCCGUGCCGGUUCUUGCUCAAGUUGCGCCGGGAAAGUCGUCUCUGGCUCUAUUGACCAGUCGGACCAGAGCUUCUUAGACGAUGAACAGAUCAGCGAAGGCUAUGUCUUGACCUGUGUGGCUUAUCCGACUUCUGAUGUCGUCAUCGAAACCCACAAAGAAGAAGCCAUUAUGUAAAAAAUUUAAGCUUCUUGAUGAAUUUCAUCAAAAG
rnacentral:lncRNA from 1 species